rnacentral:tRNA from 1 species
GCCCCCGUAGCUCAGCGGAUUAGAGCAACCGACUUCUAAUCGGUAGGUCGAAGGUUCGAAUCCUUCCGGGGGCG